AAAACUACUGAGAUAACUGAGAUAGCUGCGCUGAAGUAGCUGAGAUAAAUGCGCUUACUGCACUGAGGUAGCUUCCCUGAUGGUAGCUAGAGAUAACUGCCCUGACUGCGCUGAGAUAGCUGCGCUGAGGUAGCUGCCCUGAGGUAGCUGAGAUAACUAGAUAGCUGCUCUGAGAUAGCUGAGAUAGCUGCCCUGACUGUGCUGAGAUAGCUGAGAUAGCUGCCCUGACUGUGCUGAGAUAGCUGCGCUGAGAUAGCUGCGCUGAGGUAGCUGAGAUAAAUAUCCUGACUGCGCUGAGAAGACCCAAAUUCUGCUUAAGGCUUUCCCCUCCGAAGCGUGGCUGAAUUGCUACUAAAGCUCAUUUUCUGCCGAAGCAGGUUUUCCAGCAUUGUUAACCAUUACUGAUGUGCUGUAAAUUUUCAAGAAAAAUACAGAUGGCAACAUAUACCCUAUUUUCAAGAAAAAUACAGAUGGCAACAUAUACCCUACUCCCUCCCUCUUGGUAACAUGUGCAUGAUUAAAAUAAACAUGUUAUGUGUAUGCUUGUGAUUGGUGUUCCUACUUGUGAUGCUAGUGACAGGGCUAGUAUGACUCUAUGGUCCCAAAGUAUGUUAUCCAAAUUAUGUUCCAAGCCCUUAGCACAUAUGCAGAAGAUGUGCAGCUUCGUAUACUUAGUCAAUUCAUAUUUCAACCCUAGGCACAUAUGCAGAAGUUGUGCAGCUUCGUAUACUUAGUCAAUUCAUAUUUCAACCUUAGGCACAUAUGCAGAAGUUGUGCAGCUUCAAAGACAUAAUAUCAAAUUCACAAAUCCCUUCAAGAGAUAAUAUAAAUCAUGAUUUUUCUCAAGUGGUAAAGUAUAACAUUUU
rnacentral:lncRNA from 1 species